GAUGAACGCUAGCUACAGGCCUAACACAUGCAAGUCGAGGGGCAUCGGGAGGGAAGCUUGCUUCCUUGCCGGCGACCGGCGCACGGGUGAGUAACGCGUAUCGAACCUGCCCCAUACCCGGGGAUAGCCUUGCGAAAGUAAGAUUAAUACCCGAUGGUUUCCUUUUAUCUCCUGAUAGAGGGAAUAAAGAAUUUCGGUAUGGGAUGGCGAUGCGUCCGAUUAGCUAGUUGGCGGGGUAACGGCCCACCAAGGCGACGAUCGGUAGGGGUUCUGAGAGGAAGGUCCCCCCACAUUGGAACUGAGACACGGUCCAAACUCCUACGGGAGCAGCAGCGAGGAUAUUGGUCAAUGGCCGAGAGGCUGAACCAGCCAAGUCGCGUGAGGGAUGAAGGUUCUAUGGAUCGUAAACCU
rnacentral:rRNA from 1 species